rnacentral:rRNA from 1 species
AAGAAGGACGUGACAAGCUGCGAAAAGCCUCGGGGAGGAGCAAAUAUCCAUUGAUCCGGGGAUAUCCGAAUGGGGCAACCCGGCUGGACAAUAUCCAGUCAUCCUGCGUUGAACAAAAUAGGCGUAGGAAGGGAACCGCCUGAACUGAAACAUCUAAGUAGGGCGAGGAAAAGACAUCAACCGAGAUUCCGCAAGUAGUGGCGAGCGAACGCGGAAGAGGCCAAACCGAGGGAUUUAUUCCUCGGGGUUGCGGACAGUCAUUUAGCGGAAGUUAUCUAGGAGAAGGGUCUGGGAAGGCCCGCCACAGAGGGUGAGAGCCCCGUAUCCGAAAGAGAAGGCCGUGCGACUGAAUCCAGAGUACCGCGGGACACGUGAAACCCCGUGGGAAACAGGGGGGACCACCCUCCAAGCCUAAAUACUACCUGAUGACCGAUAGAGGAGCAGUACCGUGAGGGAAAGGUGAAAAGGACCCCGGGAGGGGAGUGAAAGAGAACCUGAAACCUUGUGCUUACAAGCACUCAAAGCACGUUAAAGUGUGAUGAGGUACUUUUUGUAGAACGGUCCGGCGAGUUAUAGUAACGAGCAAGCUUAAGGUAUUCAGUACCGGAGGCGAAGCGAGAGCGAGUCUGAAUAGGGCGUAAAGUUCGUUGCCAUAGACCCGAAACCGGGUGACCUACCCAUGAGCAGGUUGAAGUGGGGGUGAAACCCCAUGGAGGACCGAACCGACCCCCGUUGCAAUGGUGGCGGAUGACUUGUGGGUAGCGGUGAAAUUCCAAUCGAACUCGGAGAUAGCUGGUUCUCCCCGAAAUAGCUUUAGGGCUAGCGUUAUGUUAGAUUACCGGAGGUAAAGCACUGAAUGGUUUAGGGGCUGAUAAAGUUACCGACGCCUAUCAAACUCUGAAUGCCGGAUAAUUGAUGACUAGCAGUCAGACAGUGUGAGAUAAGUUUCAUUGUCAAAAGGGAAACAGCCCAGACCUACAGCUAAGGUCCCAAAUGUAUGCUAAGUGGAAAACGAUGUGGAAUUGCGAAAACAACCAGGAUGUUGGCUUAGAAGCAGCCACACAUUAAAAGAGUGCGUAAUAGCUCACUGGUCGAGUGACUCUGCGCGGAAAAUGUAACGGGGCUAAGCAUGCAACCGAAGCUUAGGAUUGUCUAAAGACAGUGGUAGGGGAGCGUUCUGUAUGGGGUGAAGUCGCAGCGAGAGCAGCGGUGGACUGUACAGAAGUGAGAAUGCCGGAAUGAGUAGCGAGAAUUAUGUGGGAAUCAUAAUGGCCGAAAAUCUAAGGUUUCUUGGGGAAGGUUCGUCCGCCCAAGGUAAGCCGGGAGCUAAGGCGAGGCCGAAAGGCGUAGUCGAUGCACAUACGGUUGAAAUUCCGUAGCCACCGAACCUUAAGUACACUGACACAUAGAGAUAGCGGGACCCGGGCGUUGGUUGACCCGGGCGUAAGGGACCGAACUUUAGUAGGGAAGUCCGCGAUGCUCUGUGGCGAGAAAAGGUGUAUGGUAUGCUAAGGUGCCCGUACCGCAAACCGACACAGGUAGAUGAGGAGAGAAUCCUAAGGCCAACGGGAGAAGGGUUGUUAAGGAACUCGGCAAAAUGACCCCGUAACUUCGGGAUAAGGGGAGCCUCCUACGGGAGGCCGCAGCGAAUAGGCCCAAGCGACUGUUUACCAAAAACACAGGUCUCUGCUAAAUCGAAAGAUGACGUAUAGGGGCUGACGCCUGCCCGGUGCUGGAAGGUUAAGAGGAGAUGUUAGCCGCAAGGCGAAGCAUUGAAUCGAAGCCCCAGUAAACGGCGGCCGUAACUAUAACGGUCCUAAGGUAGCGAAAUUCCUUGUCAGGUAAGUUCUGACCCGCACGAAUGGCGUAACGAUUUGGGCGCUGUCUCAACAGCCCACCCGGCGAAAUUGUUGUACUGGUGAAGAAGCCAGUUACCCGCAACUAGACGGAAAGACCCCAUGGAGCUUUACUGUAGCUUAAUACUGGAAAUCGGUAAAUCAUGUACAGGAUAGGUGGGAGACUUGGAAGCCUGGGCGUCAGCUUAGGUGGAGUCAACCUUGGGAUACCACCCUUGAUUUGCUGGUUUUCUAACCUGCGGCCGUGAAUCCGGUCGGGGGACACUGUUAGGUGGGCAGUUUGACUGGGGCGGUCGCCUCCAAAAAGGUAACGGAGGCGCUCAAAGGUUCGUUCAGCACGGACGGAAACCGUGCAGUGAGUGUAAACGCAUAAACGAGCCUAACUGCGAGACCGACGGGUCGAGCAGUAACGAAAGUUAGAUCGGAAGAGCACACGUCUGAACUCCCGUCCCGGCUACAUCUC